AUUGAUUUAAUUAUUUUUUGUAACUGCUAACAGUGAAUUUCAGAUGCUUUCUUUUCAGACAGGUUUUCUGAACGAUUCUCACCACUCAUGCCCUCACUAAUGAAUGCAACCAUGACUGCAUGCAGCUCACAAAAAAUAAUUAA